rnacentral:misc_RNA from 1 species
CAUCACUUGUUCCAUGUGUUUCUUUAUGAUGGUCAGGAAUUUGAAUUAUUGAUUCAAUCUCUUCCUUGGCUCUUUCAUCUUUUUCUUCAUAUGAAAACCAAAAACAAAAAAAAAAUCUCAAAGAUUCAGUUCUUCUACUUCUAAAGUUCAAUUUUAGGGUCCCCUUCCUCACCCUAAAAAAUUUCUUACAACAUUCACAUGGAAAAACACUCACAGGCUUCCAUUUAUAGGUGUGGAUUUUACAUAAAAAAUAUGGCUUUAAAACAUCCUUAUUGUUUCAGGAGGGGGAACAACAAAAUAGCAUCGUUAAACAUAGAAAAUAAUUCAUUCUCUUAAGACAUUAUAAAAAAAACAAGAAACCUCCACAGACAACCAGAAGAACAAAAAGUCAAUCCACCUUGAUGGGUGGAAAAAAAGAUAUUGUCAAUACUCGAGAAGAAGGAAUCCCCACCCACCCUCCAAGUUCCAUUUUUUCUUGGAUGCAGCAACAGCAAAUGAAUCAACCCAUAUGAAGGAUUACAAUAACAAAAGAUCAGGUCUUUG